GAUGAACGCUAGCGGCAGGCUUAACACAUGCAAGUCGAGGGGUAUAGUAGCAAUACUAGAGACCGGCGCACGGGUGCGUAACGCGUAUGCAAUCUACCUUUUACAGAGGGAUAGCCCAGAGAAAUUUGGAUUAAUACCUCAUAGCAUUGCGAAAUGGCAUCAUUUUGCAAUUAAAGUCACAACGGUAAAAGAUGAGCAUGCGUCCCAUUAGCUAGUUGGUAAGGUAACGGCUUACCAAGGCAACGAUGGGUAGGGGUCCUGAGAGGGAGAUCCCCCACACUGGUACUGAGACACGGACCAGACUCCUACGGGAGGCAGCAGUGAGGAAUAUUGGACAAUGGGCGCAAGCCUGAUCCAGCCAUGCCGCGUGCAGGAUGACGGUCCUAUGGAUUGUAAACUGCUUUUUGUACGAGAAGAAACACUCCGACGUGUCGGAGCUUGACGGUAUCGUAAGAAUAAGGAUCGGCUAACUCCGUGCCAGCAGCG
rnacentral:rRNA from 1 species